GACGAACGCUGGCGGCGUGCCUAAUACAUGCAAGUAGAACGCUGAAGGGAGAGCUUGCUCUUCUGGAUGAGUUGCGAACGGGUGAGUAACGCGUAGGUAACCUGCCUGGUAGCGGGGGAUAACUAUUGGAAACGAUAGCUAAUACCGCAUAACAUUGACUAUUGCAUGAUAGUCAAUUGAAAGGUGCAAUUGCACUACUACCAGAUGGACCUGCGUUGUAUUAGCUAGUUGGUGGGGUAACGGCUCACCAAGGCGACGAUACAUAGCCGACCUGAGAGGGUGAUCGGCCACACUGGGACUGAGACACGGCCCAGACUCCUACGGGAGGCAGCAGUAGGGAAUCUUCGGCAAUGGACGGAAGUCUGACCGAGCAAACGCCGCGUGAGUGAAAGAAGGUUUUUCGGAAUCGUAAAAGCUUCCU
rnacentral:rRNA from 1 species